CAGUUGAAAUAGUUUGUUACUUACUUAGUCAUAUUGUCCUUUAAAUAUUCAAAGCUGAAGCAAAAGCACAACAAUUGUUGCUUCUAGAAACAGCCCAGUUCUCUGUGCUGUGCUUUGCACACUGCUGAUCUAAGGCAGACAAACAAAAACAACACAACUGCUGCUCAUCCUGCUUGAUUUCUACUUUUUUUGCUUUGCCCCACCCCUUUCCCAGGUGAUUGGUUGGGUUCCAGGUGGGCCUAAUGGUAUAUAAGCUGCAGGUGUCAUAUCAGAAAACUUCUUCUGUCUGAGCUGCUCUUUGGGGGAUGUCUUCCAGAUCCACAGGAAACCAUUAAAUGCUAGUAAUGCCAAUAAGACAAUGAAGUAAACUGAAGCACAAGAAGCUGAAAAAGAGGAACUUAAUCAUAUUAAUGGAAGCACUAAAAAGGAUAAGUUAUAAGUUACAAAACAUACCUCUAACUUGUCUUCUUCCCAUUUUGGAAUAUUGGCACAAAAAAUAUAUAUACAUAUACUUAUAUGUAGGGAAUUUAAUAUGUCACUAUUUUAAGGUAUUGUGGAAAAAAUUUAAUUAGUAAUUAGUAAUAUUUUAAACUAUUGAUAAAGACUAAAUUAUUUAAUCAUCUUGUAUACAACUUCUUACUUCUAUUUUACAUUUUGUAUCUAUCAUUUUUUUCUCUUUUCUUGUCAAUAGGAAAUUUGGCUCUGCCAUUUGAUAUUUUUCCUAUGUAAUUCACAGCUUUAUUCCAUUCUUAAUGUAUUCAAACUCUUUACUAGCUGUAUUUCUAUCAGACCUUCUGUCCCCUCCUUCCAAGAAGAAAGGCUGCCAUAAUAUUUAAUACAUAUUGUUGCUAUUUUGUUGUUUUAUUUGUUCAAUAGUUAUAGUUCAAUACAUACGUAAUAGUUUAGAACCAGAAGUUGUGGGAAAU
rnacentral:lncRNA from 1 species